UGUAUGCAAGAAAUCCACACACAUGGCAGAAGCAUCACAAGAACUUUGGGACACCUGUGUUACCUGGAGCUGCAGAUGGAGGCCAGGCUGGCAGAGGUGACACAAGACCCACGCACUACUGAAGACCCAUGCAUUCCUGGAGUGGCAAAAUGGUGUCCUCAAUGAGCCUGGGUCACUUGUAUGGGUUUUCUUAACAUUUUUUCCCCCUGUAUUUUUAUGGAAGAUGAAGUUGUCUUCCUGUGGGGCCAUAAGGAUUCAUGAACUUGUUAUUGA